rnacentral:misc_RNA from 1 species
GCAAACUUGGUCAUUUAGAGGAAGUAAAAGUCGUAACAAGGUUUCCGUAGGUGAACCUGCGGAAGGAUCAUUAUUGAAUAUUACCUGAUGAGUUGUAGCUGGCCCCUGAGGCAUGUGCACGCUUGUCUUUGUUCUAUUCAUCCACCUGUGCACCAUUUGUAGUCUUUGAGGGUUGGGGAGCAGUAGAUUUAUCAGUCGAAAUGACUGGACGAGAGGACUGCAUGUAUACAGUAGUGUGCAGCUUUCUUCAUUAUUAUGCUGCGACGUUCCCUCAGAGUGCUAUGUUUUUGUAUUUAUACACUAUGUAUGUUGUAGAAUGUAUUUAACAAGGGUUACUAUGCCCAUAAAACACUAUACAACUUUCAGCAACGGAUCUCUUGGCUCUCGCAUCGAUGAAGAACGCAGC